CCGGACGUGCUUCCGUUACAGACACUCCACAGCUGCCUGCUACGUCCGCACAAAGUGUGGCGUCCUGAAAGCGCGAACUACCAACACUUCGGACGCUCUCUCAGGGCUCAGAGGAGGGAGGAGGCAGAGCGUGGAAGCAGGGAGAGGGGGACGAAGAGCAGGAGACUGACCACUCCCUCUCCUCCUUCUCCCCUCUGAAGCAGGCUGACUCGCUUCCCACACAGGCUCAACACAGCCGUCAAGUGCAGCUACAGAACAGUGCUGUUGCUCUCUCUCAAGGCUCGCCGGGAGUGUACUAAGCGGGACAAGGUGUUUGAGGGUCAAGGAGGUGUUUAAAAGUGCUGCUGAGCAGGAACUGGCGCCAAGUACAGUCGCAGCGUGCUCUCUGAGUCUGUCCUGAGUGGGAGGACAGGAAGUUUGAGCAGAGAAGGCUGAAGUAGAGUGCUUUGAGUGCUGUGCCAAGCUGGCUGGCUGCGAGCUCGCAAGCUGCCUCAAACCGGUCACUCAACUGCAGGAGAGUGUGGGAGAGUCAAAAGGGAGUCAGUUGGAGCUGGUUUUGCGGACAAGUUCUGGAGACUUGGCCGGAGAGGAGCAGGAGGAGGAGUGAAAACUCGCUCUGUUCAGGCUGGGGGUGGUCAGGUGUUGUAGAGUGGGUGCGGAAGAGUGUGAGAAGAGUGCUGGAGAGUGAGCUGGGUGUGUUUGAGGAGGAAGAGGUCUGCUUUCCACUUCAGUUGCUCUCAGAAGGUUCAGAGGAGGGAGGACGUGGAGUUCUGCGGCAGGGAGAGUGGGAGGAAGAGCUGCAGACUGACCAACUCUCUCUCCUCCUUCUCCCCUCUAGUGCAGGCUGACUUGCUUUCCACACAGGCUCAACACACUUGUCAAGUACACCUCAAGAAGAGGGCUCUCGCUCUCUCCCAAAGCUCGCAGGGCGAGUACUCAGCGGGACAAGGUGUUUGAGGGUGGGUUGGGCUCCCUUUUGCGGACUUGGUCACACUUUUCUGGGUGAGGAGGAGGGCAGGGUCGAGGACGUCUAGACAAGUGCAGCUGAGCUGGAACUGGGGUCAAGUAGAGUGCGAGUGUGCUCUCUGUGCCCGUACUGAGUGGAGGGAAAGCGAGUUG
rnacentral:misc_RNA from 1 species